GCAGAAUUUUAUCUGUGGCUGUCUGGUCCUUUUAAUAUCGGUAGUACCAAUAUGGUUUCCAAGGACAUGAUGUACUCCCAGUGCCUAUUGUAAUUUUAUUUUUUAGCUAUUUUUAUUGGAAUGAAUGAAUAAACUAUUAAAAUACAAAGAAUCCUUUUAUAACUAUAAAGGAAAUGUGUAAAAAGCAAUGAAAAGGAUAAGAAAUGGUUUCUAAAUUGAACAGUUUGUUUUAUUAUUAACAAUAACAAUAAAGUAAGUCACACAGCUCAUAAGUCCUCCCAGAUGAGACAUCUGUGGGAUUCUCUAGUUUGAAAAGAAACUUAGCUUAUAAACAUGUCAGCCAUGUCCCGAAUAAAAUGAGGAUUUCGCACUACAUGGAAAUGAAACUAUUUGUUCUUCAACAUGUCCAAGAUUCAGUGUUAUUUUAAGAUGCUUUUCCUUCCAAUUAAAUAGGACAUGUUUUCCAUCAGCUGCAGAGGGAAAAGGUACCAGUAACUUUGAUGAAUAUAAAUUGCUUAAGCUACUAAACUUAAGAUCAUAGGCUGUCAACCACUGAUACAAAAUCUAAAUCCAAUCCAGCUCACAGUGUAAAGAGUCUGAACCUUUGUUAGCAAAGAUCAUCUCCAUAUUCUGGUUACCACAUUUGACCUUUAAUGAGUUGGGACAGCUAAAUGAUUUUGAAGAUGGGAGUGGUGUAACUAGUUAUAACUGUAACUAGUUCCUAAAAAUUUACCGUACUUUUUUUUUUUUUGUGGCAUGAAAAAGAAAAGAAAAAAGAAAGGAGAGAGGUGUAUUUAGUAGCCAUUGAGAUACACAACAUAAAGGGAGUUAGUGAAAGCUUCUCUUUUUCCAUGCCCCUGUCCCAGAAACAAUGUGAGGACUUGUCCUCUGCCUCUAAGGUGAUGUCAGUUUUAUCAAUGACAACGUGUCAAUUAAAUGCUCCCAACUUUGUAUGCAAUGCUUUUCAACUUUCACUGACUCUAUUCGACUCUCUUCUCUGCUCACGGCAAUAAUGAAUCAUGAUAUAUUACAACAAAAAUUAAAGAAGCACAAUACACUUCCUGAAGGCUCCACAAAUGGGAAGAAGGGAAUGGAAAGAAUGUGGCCUUCAGCAUCAUACAAAUCCAUCACUUAAGAGCAUUAUGACCUCGGUCAAACUAUUUCACUUCUGCCGAGGAAGUGGGGGGCAUUUUCAUCAACUAUAAUAUGGAGGACAAUAGUUUUUCACAGAGUUGUGGCGGAUAGUAUAAACAUAAUAUAUUUUGAAGCACCUAGCACAGGGUAAUUUUUAAAUUUUUUGGUUUCUUACUUAGAAUAUUAAAUAUACAGAGAAUUAUUUUUUUUCUGAUGUCUUAUGCAACCUCUUUUUUCAUAUUCAGGGCCAAUGGCUACCCUAAAGUAAAAUGAUUCAUUCAUGACAGAAAAAAGGAGACUUUGCCCAUAAACUUCUCCUAAACUAUUAUAGAAAUGAUGCUUUGAGGAUCUCAUCUUCAUUCUAAACGUAGCAGAGUGGCUUGAAGGGUUAAGGUGAGCAGGGAAGCCGAGCAGAUGGGGCUUUGAGUUUCUCUCCCUACUUCAACCAAAGCAGCUGCACUGUGUUCUGUUUUACAUUGACCAUGCAUAAAUGUGGGAUUUGGGAAAUUCACCAAUGAUGUCCUACUUCUUUAUUGUCUUGUUAGUGCCACACAGGACCUGACUAAAAUCCUGUGAAGAGAGGAGGGGUGUCCCCAGCUGUUCUCACUGUGCAUAAUCCUGGAAGAAGUUCAUGGUGCUUCCUGUAUUAACAUCCUUGCAAGUGGUACCUGCCUCUCUGAGGAUCCAGCUACGCAAUGAAUCUGAGAAAGCUUAAAAUCGGAAAUGCUGCUCUAGUAAUGGUUCUCAAACCCUGGUGGUCUUGACAUACAGGUCUUAUUAAAACACAGUUGCUGGGCUCCACCUAAGAGAUCUGGAUUCUGAAUUUGUAUGUCUAACAAGUUUCCAGAAGUUUGAUGCCACAAUGGAUGCUACCAAUGACACCAUUUGAUUUGGAAAUAAGGAGAUAGGCCCAAGUUUUUAUCGGACACACCCCUCAUUCUUCGUUCAUCACAGCAUCCCUGAAAUUGAAAGCCAGCAGCGACCCGAGUCAAUUUUCUACACUCAAAUUUGCAUGCCUGGUGUAAAUUUCCAGGAGCUUUCCUCCUGGAAAGCCAGUGUCUCAUACGCCUCCCAGCAAACACUGACCACAUCCUGAACGAAGCUAAGCACUGUGUAAUGCUAAGCAGACCUGGGCCCGUAGGAAACAAGAUGCCACAUUCGGGACAGCUGUCAGCACUCAUCCAACACCCUGCCUUCCACUCGUCCAUCCCUGCAAUUAGUGAGGAGUGAGGUUUGGAGCUGUGCCAAUUCAACCUGGAAUGGGAAACAUCGAGCUCUGACACCCUUAAGAGCUACCAAGAUUUUGUGAUGGAAAUGAAGCUGACAGUUUUGUCAGGGAUGUGAGAAGCAGAAUCAGAUUCAGCUAGUUCCUGCGGAGAUGUGCUGGCUCUAUCAAGAUGAAGAUAAUAAAAGUAAGUUUGGUGGGUAAAAUGGGUAGAUAUAACUCAAAGACACAUGGGAAGAGAUACUGAGCGAAAGGAUGACAUUUCACACAUUACUGAUCAGGGGAGCAGUGCCUUGGCCAAGGGUUCGGUAACCACUGGAUGGAAAGGAGAGACUUGAGUGUUUCCCUAGGAUCACCUACGUCCUACAUUUA
rnacentral:lncRNA from 1 species